GACGAACGCUGGCGGCGUGCUUAACACAUGCAAGUCGAACGGGAGUAUCGAAGAAGCUUGCUUUUAAGAUACUUUAGUGGCGGACGGGUGAGUAACGCGUGAGGAGCUGUCCUAUGCAGGGGGACAACAGUUGGAAACGACUGCUAAUACCCCAUAAGCCGAGAGGUAAAAGGAUUUAUCCGGCAAAGGAGGUACUCGCGUCCUAUCAGCUAGUAGGUGGGGUAACGGCUCACCUAGGCGAAGACGGGUAGCCGGCCUGAGAGGGCGAACGGCCACACUGGAACUGAGACACGGACAAAACCCCUACGGGAGGCAGCAGUGGGGAAUAUUGCAAAAGGGGCGAAAGCCUGAUGCAGCAACGCCGCGUGAGCGAUGAAGGCCUUGGGGUCGUAAAGCUCUGUCCUAAAGGAAGAUAAUGACGGUACUUGAGGAGGAAGCCCCGGCUAACUACGUGCCAGCAGCCGCAGUAA
rnacentral:rRNA from 1 species